AAAUGAAUAGACGGGGGCCCGCACAAGCGGUGGAGCAUGUGGUUUAAUUCGACGCAACGCGAAGAACCUUACCGGGUUUUGACAUUCCCUGAAACAGGUGAAAGCCGGAAUAGACAUUUAGUCACAGGGAGACAGGUGGUGCAUGGUUGUCGUCAGCUCGUGUCGUGAGAUGUUGGGUUAAGUCCCGCAACGAGCGCAACCCUUAUCUUUAGUUGCCAGUGGGUAAAGCCAGGCACUCUAGAGAGACUGCCGGUGACAAACCGGAGGAAGGUGGGGAUGACGUCAAAUCAUCAUGCCCCUUAUAAUCCGGGCUACACACGUGCUACAAUGGGCUGUACAGAGGGCAGCGAAGGAGUGAUCCGGAGCCAAUCCCAGAAAGCAGCUCACAGUUCGGAUUGCAGGCUGCAACUCGCCUGCAUGAAGUCGGAAUCGCUAGUAAUCGCAGAUCAGCAUGCUGCGGUGAAUACGUUCCCGGGCCUUGUACACACCGCCCGU
rnacentral:rRNA from 1 species